AAUCAACGCUGGCGGCGUGCCUCAGACAUGCAAGUCGAACGCGAAAGUUUCCUUCGGGGAGCGAGUAGAGUGGCGCACGGGUGAGUAACACGUAGGUAAUCUACCUUCGGAUGGGGAAUAACAAUCGGAAACGGUUGCUAAUACCGCAUAAUGCAGCGGCACCUAAUGGUGACAGUUGUUAAAGCGGGGGAUCGAAAGACCUCGCGUCUGAAGAGGAGCCUGCGGCGGAUUAGCUAGUUGGUAAGGUAAUGGCUUACCAAGGCGACGAUCCGUAACCGGCCUGAGAGGGCGGUCGGUCACACUGACACUGACAUACGGGUCAGACUCCUACGGGAGGCAGCAGUCGGGAAUUUUGGGCAAUGGGCGAAAGCCUGACCCAGCAACGCCGCGUGAAGGAUGAAA
rnacentral:rRNA from 1 species